AGACCCGAAACCCGGUGAUCUAGCCAUGGGCAGGUUGAAGGUUGGGUAACACUAACUGGAGGACCGAACCGACUAAUGUUGAAAAAUUAGCGGAUGACCUGUGGCUGGGGGUGAAAGGCCAAUCAAACCGGGAGAUAGCUGGUUCUCCCCGAAAGCUAUUUAGGUAGCGCCUCGUGAAUUCAUCUCCGGGGGUAGAGCACUGUUUCGGCUAGGGGGCCAUCCCGGCUUACCAACCCGAUGCAAACUGCGAAUACCGGAGAAUGUUAUCACGGGAGACACACGGCGGGUGCUAACGUCCGUCGUGAAGAGGGAAACAACCCAGACCGCCAGCUAAGGUCCCAAAGUCAUGGUUAAGUGGGAAACGAUGUGGGAAGGCCCAGACAGCCAGGAUGUUGGCUUAGAAGCAGCCAUCAUUUAAAGAAAGCGUAAUAGCUCACUGGUCGAGUCGGCCUGCGCGGAAGAUGUAACGGGGCUAAACCAUGCACCGAAGCUGCGGCAGCGAACGUAUCACCCAAGACAACUUUACGGAGUUGACGAUUGACGGAGCGAAGCGACGUCAAAGCGUUCAUUAAAGUCGAGUUGGCUUAGGGAUACGUUCGUUGGGUAGGGGAGCGUUCUGUAAGCCUGUGAAGGUGGCCUGUGAGGGUUGCUGGAGGUAUCAGAAGUGCGAAUGCUGACAUAAGUAACGAUAAAGCGGGUGAAAAGCCCGCUCGCCGGAAGACCAAGGGUUCCUGUCCAACGUUAAUCGGGGCAGGGUGAGUCGACCCCUAAGGCGAGGCCGAAAGGCGUAGUCGAUGGGAAACGGGUUAAUAUUCCCGUACUUGGUGUUACUGCGAAGGGGGGACGGAGAAGGCUAUGUUGGCCGGGCGACGGUUGUCCCGGUUUAAGCGUGUAGGUGUGUGUUCCAGGUAAAUCCGGUUCACUUUAACACUGAGGCGUGAUGACGAGGCACUACGGUGCUGAAGCAACAAAUGCCCUGCUUCCAGGAAAAGCCUCUAAGCAUCAGGUAACAUCAAAUCGUACCCCAAACCGACACAGGUGGUCAGGUAGAGAAUACCAAGGCGCUUGAGAGAACUCGGGUGAAGGAACUAGGCAAAAUGGUGCCGUAACUUCGGGAGAAGGCACGCUGACACGUAGGUGAAGUGAUUUACUCACGGAGCUGAAGUCAGUCGAAGAUACCAGCUGGCUGCAACUGUUUAUUAAAAACACAGCACUGUGCAAACACGAAAGUGGACGUAUACGGUGUGACGCCUGCCCGGUGCCGGAAGGUUAAUUGAUGGGGUCAGCGCAAGCGAAGCUCCUGAUCGAAGCCCCGGUAAACGGCGGCCGUAACUAUAACGGUCCUAAGGUAGCGAAAUUCCUUGUCGGGUAAGUUCCGACCUGCACGAAUGGCGUAAUGAUGGCCAGGCUGUCUCCACCCGAGACUCAGUGAAAUUGAACUCGCUGUGAAGAUGCAGUGUACCCGCGGCAAGACGGAAAGACCCCGUGAACCUUUACUAUAGCUUGACACUGAACAUUGAGCCUUGAUGUGUAGGAUAGGUGGGAGGCUUUGAAGUGUGGACGCCAGUCUGCAUGGAGCCGACCUUGAAAUACCACCCUUUAAUGUUU
rnacentral:rRNA from 1 species